UGUAUUUGCCAGAAAGAAAAAAACCAGAAUUUCAGGAAACAAAGAGUGAAACAUCUUCAAUUGCACAACAUGCCGGGUGGAGUGAAGUUAUUGUCCCCAAGCAGAUGACAAUAUACAGUAAGGAUAUGGGAACCCAUAGCACCGCGACACCCUCACUGACCAUGGCUGCACUGUGUGUCUCUCUGCUACUGGCUGCUCUCUGCAUUGGCACAGCCGCGCCCCUGCAGUGCUACACGUGUCCCGUAGUCAUCAGCAACGCCAACUGCCUGACCCCGACCAACUGCAGCGAAUCCGACACCUACUGUAUGACCAGUGUGGUUUCUAUCUAUGACAUACCGCUCACGUUGAUCAAUAAAAUCUGCC